rnacentral:rRNA from 1 species
AUUGAACGCUGGCGGCAUGCCUUACACAUGCAAGUCGAACGGUAACAGGUCUUCGGACGCUGUCGAGUGGCGAACGGGUGAGUAAUACAUCGGAACGUGCCCAGUCGUGGGGGAUAACUACUCGAAAGAGUAGCUAAGACCGCAUACGAUCUGAGGAUGAAAGCGGGGGACCUUCGGGCCUCGCGCGAUUGGAGCGGCCGAUGGCAGAUUAGGUAGUUGGUGGGAUAAAAGCUUACCAAGCCGACGAUCUGUAGCUGGUCUGAGAGGACGACCAGCCGCACUGGGACUGAGACACGGCCCAGACUCCUACGGGAGGCAGCAGUGGGGAAUUUUGGACAAUGGGCGCAAGCCUGAUCCAGCAAUGCAGCGUGCAGGAAGAAGGCCUUCGGGUUGUAAACUGCUUUUGUACGGAGCGAAAAGGCUCCCUCUAAUACAGGGGGCUCAUGACGGUACCGUAAGAAUAAGCACCGGCUAACUACGUGCCAGCCGCCGCCGUAAGAC